GCUGCUCAGUUCUGGGCUUGAUUCUGAAAGCUUGCCAAUCUCUGCCACGUGCUUGCUUCUAGACUUCACGUUGUAUCUUGUGCUGCUUUGUUUAUAACACGUGCUUUUGUCUGUUGUAGAAUAUAAUCUUGGAACAGUCUUUGUGAUUUGAAAAUCUUUGUCUUCUGAUAAACACACACAGCUCUUAACACAGCUUUUAACAUGGUUCUUUUUCUCUGUUUCUGGCUGCACACACUUCUAUUCAACACAAAGAGUAAUUCAAUCCGUCCUCUCACUCACAUCCUCUGCUCAAUUCCACCCUUAAUGGAAGUAUGGAAUGCCAGAAAAACAGUCUAGCUAGCUCGUCAAUAUAUGUCUAUAUUAAAGGACCACUCUAGGCACCCAGACCACUUCAGCUUAAUGAAGUUGUAACGGACCGUUUUGCACAAAAGGGGAAAAAAAACGUUUAGACGAUAAUCCCCCUUUCAGAGCCAGGCACAGCUACUGUAGAAUCACCAAAACUCACGAACCGCCAAUAAGUGAAUGCUCCAAACUCCCGAACGGCAUACAAGGGAAUAAGGUAACACUUCAAAUAAACGAACAGGAACCAUACGAAUAGCUGCUAGCAGGCGAACAGGAAAAGCUUCCAAGCGGCUUACACUCCUGGCAAUCAGUCCUUAGCAGCAUACAGUAAAUCCCCCCAAAGACGAGACAAGGCUCCGUGUUGAGGGUCAAGCAGUG